rnacentral:rRNA from 2 species
CGGAGGAAAGGAAACCAACAGGGAUUGCCUCAGUAACGGCGAGUGAAGCGGCAAAAGCUCAAAUUUGAAAUCCCCCGGGAAUUGUAAUUUGAAGAGAUUUGGGUCCGGCCGGCAGGGGUUAAGUCCACUGGAAAGUGGCGCCACAGAGGGUGACAGCCCCGUGAACCCCCUCAACGCCUUCAUCCCAGAUCUCCAAGAGUCGAGUUGUUUGGGAAUGCAGCUCUAAGUGGGUGGUAAAUUCCAUCUAAAGCUAAAUACCGGCGAGAGACCGAUAGCGAACAAGUACAGUGAUGGAAAGAUGAAAAGCACUUUGAAAAGAGAGUGAAAAAGUACGUGAAAUUGUUGAAAGGGAAGGGCUUGCAAGCAGACACUUAACUGGGCCAGCAUCGGGGCGGCGGGGAGCAAAACCACUCGGGGAAUGUACCUUUCGAGGAUUAUAACCCCGGCUCCUUACUCCCACUACCGCCCCGAGGCCUGCAUUCUAAGGAUGCUGGCGUAAUGGUUGCAAGUCGCCCGUCUU